rnacentral:rRNA from 1 species
CAAUAGCGUAUAUUAAAGUUGUUGCAGUUAAAAAGCUCGUAGUUGGACUUCUGAUGUGGAGGGACGGUCCGCCUCACGGUGAGCACUGAUUCUUCACGUCUUCCUCUCGUAGUCUUUUGGCGCACUUAGUUGGGUGCCUUUAGAAUAUGGGACCUUUACUUUGAAAAAUUAGAGUGUUUAAAGCAGGCUUAUGCCGUUGAAUAUAUUAGCAUGGAAUAAUAAGAUAGGACUUUGAGUCUAUUUUGUUGGUUUGCGAGUCAAAGUAAUGAUUAAUAGGGACAGUUGGGGGUAUUCGUAUUUCAUUGUCAGAGGUGAAAUUCUUGGAUUUCUGAAAGACGAACUACUGCGAAAGCAUUUACCAAGGAUGUUUUCAUUAAUCAAGAACGAAAGUUAGGGGAUCGAAGACGAUUAGAUACCAU